CUAUUUCGUGAUAAUGUAACACAAUAUGAGCAUCGCUCUGGGAAAACGGGGCUUAAUACAUGCUCGUUAAGUGUCGUCCCUGAUUAGUCCGUGCAGUCCCUGUGAUCACUGAGAAGAGACUUAAAACAAAAACAACAACAACAUGCACGCGGGAUGUGUCGUCCCUGAUUAGCCUAUGCGGACUGCACAUGCUAAUCUGGAAUAACACUUAACAAACAUGCAUUUAACCCCGUUUUCGUAGAGUGAGGUUCAUAUUCAUUAAUUUAUCUGUCCGUAUUUUGAGUUGUAUGUGUUGUUAAAUCGUUUAAUAUUUUGUUAGCAUGUACAGAAAACGGUUAUACAUACUGAAACUGCUGUAGGUCUAAUUGUUAUACAUACUGAAACUGCUGUAUGUCUUAUGGUUAUACAUACUGAAACUGCUGUAGGUGUAAUGGUUAUACAUACUGAAACUGGUGUAGGUGUAAUGGUUAUACAUACUGAAACUGGUGUAGGUCUAAUUUUUAUUCAUACUGAAACUGCUGUAUGUCUUAUGGUUAUACAUACUGAAACUGCUGUAGGUGUAAUGGUUAUACAUACUGAAACUGGUGUAGGUGUAAUGGUUAUACAUACUGAAACUGGUGUAGGUCUAAUGGUUAUACAUACUGAAACUGCUGUAGGUCUAAUUGUUAUACAUACUGAAACUGGUGUAGGUCUAAUAGUUAUACAUACUGAAACUGCUGUAUGUCUAAUGGUUAUACAUACUGAAACUGCUGUAGGUCUAAUGGUUAUACAUACUGAAACUGCUGUAUGUCUAACGGUUA